GGGGGGGGACCGGCACCCGUACCCAGCGUUCGCCGGGUGGGAAAAUCAGGCAAGGCGGGAGGCUCUGCACGGUGCUAGGCCUCGACACCCAACACGCCACUCUGAGGUGCGUGACGUCAUUUAUGGACGGCCCCUUGAUCAACGAGGAUGCGUAGAUUUCAAUGUCGUCAUUCCAGAGGCGAUGAUUCCAGCUCACAAACUCAAGUCGUGCGCCGCCGCUGCAACUCAAACUCUGCCACGUACAGCCCAGCAACCCACCUGCUGUACUGUAUCAUACAGGCCUGUUCAGCUAUGGACCACAACGGGCAUAGACUGGUGGCCAGCCAACAGGAGUGGACAUACUGAACUGUGGGAGAAGAGAAUGCAAGUCUCUUCAUGAGAAGUCAAAAGAGACUGCCUGCCAUACUAGAGUUUCAUUACGCAACCACGGGACAGAGGCGCGUGCGCGUGUACCGCUCAAAACGAGACGACGCACGGCGCCGUACGAACCGAAUCGGGUAGUCGGAGCCACUGAGGUUGAUGAAAAAGUCCCACGGCCAGUCGUCCAUGGCCAUCAGAUCAGACAUGGCGCGAAGGUACAUGGUGAGGAGGCUGGCGCCCCCCCAGAUGGUCGACAUGCGCCAGGACGUCACGCGGACGUUCUCGUAGCGCUGGGCAAGUCCCAGCACCUGCUUGUAGAGCAGCUGCCGGGAGGCGCGUCCGUGCACCGCGAGCACGAAGGCGACGCGGACCGGAGAUGAGGAGGCUGCCUCCCCCGCCGCUGCCGGCCUCGUCCUCUUCGCCGGGAGCGCCGCGCGAGCCGC